rnacentral:rRNA from 1 species
GACGAACGCUGGCGGCGUGCCUAACACAUGCAAGUCGAGCGGUUCUUAAGCUGUAGUUUACUAUAGCUUAAGAAUAGCGGCGAACGGGUGAGUAACACGUGGGCAACCUGUCCGAAAGAUCGGGAUAACAGUCCGAAAGGGCUGCUAAUACCGAAUACGCUUACCGGGUCGCAUGAUCCGGUAAGGAAAGGUCGGCAACUUCCGCUUUCGGGUGGGCCCGCGUCCCAUUAGCUAGUUGGUAGGGUAACGGCCUACCAAGGCAACGAUGGGUAGCUGGUCUGAGAGGAUGGUCAGCCACACUGGGACUGAGACACGGCCCAGACUCCUACGGGAGGCAGCAGUGGGGAAUCUUGCGCAAUGGGCGAAAGCCUGACGCAGCGACGCCGCGUGAGCGAGGAAGGCCUUCGGGUCGUAAAGCUCUGUCAGAGGGGACGGAGUAAUAGACGGUACCCGUCCAGAGGAAGCCCCGGCUAACUACGUGCCAGCAGCCGCGGUAAAUAGACGUACU